rnacentral:tRNA from 1 species
AUUACUUUGACAGAUUAAUGUUUUAAAUUUAGAAUUUAAUAAUGUAGAUUAUUUCUACAAGUAAUA